rnacentral:rRNA from 1 species
UACGUAGGGUGCAAGCGUUGUCCGGCAUUAUUGGGCGUAAAGAGCUCGUAGGCGGUUUGUCGCGUCUGCUGUGAAAACUCGGGGCUUAACUCCGGGCCUGCAGUGGGUACGGGCAGACUAGAGUGCGGUAGGGGAGACUGGAAUUCCUGGUGUAGCGGUGAAAUGCGCAGAUAUCAGGAGGAACACCGGUGGCGAAGGCGGGUCUCUGGGCCGUAACUGACGCUGAGGAGCGAAAGCGUGGGGAGCGAACAGG